GCACUGCUGAGGAGUCCCGCGAUAGGACGAAACGGGUGUCCAGUAC
rfam:Schistosoma mansoni strain Puerto Rico chromosome 1, complete genome